CCUAAUGUGCCUCUCGGUAAAAACCACAAAGAAAAUGUCUCUCGAAAAAGAUCAUUUUUUCAUCUUCGAAUUUUCAAUUUUACAAGAUCUCCAAAAUUUCGCUUCUAUUUAUAUUUGUCAAUUAUUCUAUAUUUAAUUCUAUUAUUAAUUGUUAUUUUAAUUGAUAAAAGAGUAAUUAAUCCGGAGGAAAUGGAAAAUACUGAAAUUUGUAAUACUUCAAAGUGUCUUGAAGCAGCACAAAGUUUACUUGAUCAAAUUGACGAAUCAGUAUCACCAUGUGAUGAUUUUUAUCGGUUUGCCUGUGGGGGAAUGGAUAAUGAAUAUACUGUUUUACCGAAAGGAUUUUCUUCUAAUGCAGAGGAUUAUUUGAAACGUUGAAAUUCAAGAAAGGAUCAAAAAUUUAUUGAAUGGCCUGAGGGAUCGAGAUCUUUAUCCUGGUGGUUAUCAAAGAAAAAUGAGAGACUAUUAUAAUCUUUGUCAACAAGAGCCAGUACGUCGCGAUUAUCCAAGUUUGUCAUUAUAUAUGAGAGUCAUUCAACAAUUGGGUGGAUGGCCAGUUCUACAAGGAGCUGGAUGGAAUGAAGAAUCUUUUAGCUUAACUGAUAUUCUGAUAGAAAUGAGAAGAUUAGGAUUACCUUACGAUGUAUUAUUCGAAUCGCACCUAUUCGUGUGAUUCCAGAAAGUGAUAUAAUUAU